ensembl:ncRNA lncRNA:CR46431 long non-coding RNA:CR46431
GUUUUUUGUUUGAUGGGUGUAUAAUUCUAGUUUUUUUUUUUGAAGGAUUAUUAUUGCAUCUCACGAAAGGGAAGACGGAAUUCAGGCGGAAAACUCUGCACAACAUAUAAAAACAAAGCCCUUAGGUAACGGAAGUUGGAAGAGUCAAUGUCUACAACCACAACUAAAUCAACUGACGGUCGAAUGGAAUGCGAGUGUACGUAAUGGCUGUCUACAAAACCCGGAACUGAUAGACAAGAUAUUUAUACAAAAGAAAUAAAAUGUAGGCAUAUAUUAAAUUAAGUAAAAGCGUUAUAGAAUGUAAC